rnacentral:rRNA from 1 species
ACGAACGCUGGCGGCGUGCCUAAUACAUGCAAGUCGAACGAACGGAGGAAGAGCUUGCUCUUCCAAAGUUAGUGGCGGACGGGUGAGUAACACGUGGGCAACCUGCCUGUAAGUUGGGGAUAACUCCGGGAAACCGGGGCUAAUACCGAAUAAUAAGUGGUGGCGCAUGCCACGGCUUUGAAAGAUGGUUUCGGCUAUCGCUUACAGAUGGGCCCGCGGUGCAUUAGCUAGUUGGUAGGGUAAUGGCCUACCAAGGCAACGAUGCAUAGCCGACCUGAGAGGGUGAUCGGCCACACUGGGACUGAGACACGGCCCAGACUCCUACGGGAGGCAGCAGUAGGGAAUCUUCCGCAAUGGACGAAAGUCUGACGGAGCAACGCCGCGUGUAUGAAGAAGGUUUUCGGAUCGUAAAGUACUGUUGUUAGAGAAGAACAAGGAYAAGAGUAACUGCUUGUCCCUUGACGGUAUCUAACCAGAAAGCCACGGCU